AACAAUAUACCCGAACUUUCUUUAGAAAGUGCGGGUAUAAUGAAGCAUUGCACAAAGUUUCAAGACUAUCCGAUAAGCCAUAUAGGAGAAGUGUUCACAAGAUUUUGUGACAGACAGAAAGACGGAUGAAGUACAAAAACUAUGUCUCCCCCUGGAAGAGGGGAGACAUAAUUAGAAUUUUUUUUAGACAGAAAGGAAUGAGAUCUCUGACACAGAUUUUGCUAUGAAUAUAUAUCAUGUUUUGCUGAGUGAAAACAUUUUUUUAUUCUCUUUUAUUUAUACGUAUCUAAGCACAAGGUAAUUAAUACUUUUCAUACUUUCCCAAUUUGAACAUUUUAUGUGUCAAUUUUCCCAAUUCUACGGACUCUGGACCCAGUUUGAAAAUGGUAGGAAAACCCCUGCGAAGACUCAAAUAUGAAAUCAUUUUCAAUUAGAGGUUAAAACAUUUAGUGAUGAAUUAAUUACUGGAAUUUAUGAGGACUACUGAGACAAGUUAAAAUGGUGUCAUAUUUGUCUUCAGAUUCAAGAAACGGACUCUAUCUGGAAAAGGAAAACAAUAUCAAAGCUCCUCUGUGAGAAGUUGGCCAAGGAAAGCAUUCAGAAGAAAGUGGAGAUUCAUUGUUUUUACCAGAUCCAGUAGAUCACAGAAAGCAUCUAGUAGGGGAGGUCUACAGAUCGAAGCAUGCCAAAUGUGUAAAGAACAAGUUUCCAGGAUUAAGCCAGCCAGUAGAUGAGACUAUUAUAUCAAAAAUACAUUUACUUGUACACGAGGGCACACAAAGCGUUGAUGAAACAAAAAGACAUUUCCGUCUGUUUGUAAAGGAUACUAUUUCACCAGGGAACACCAUCUCAGAAUUUAACAGAUGCUUUUACCCCGCCAAUAAGGAUGUAAGAAAUCACAUUUACAGGGCACCGAGAUUUUGCCAGGUAGUUUAGAACUGUGUGCAUUGGUUUUGGAAGAAUUUGGGCUGUUUAGGCUAAAAUCCAUUAUGAUUGGACAGAAUAUGAACACACACAUCCAAUACUUCAAAGAUAUUAUGUUUGUGGAGGCAGAGAUUUUGAUUGCAUCCACUGUUUAGAAUACAUCCUUAAGGGAAGCAGACUGCCGCCUUUACCCAAUGAUAUAAUGAUUAAUCAUAACUAUAUCUGUUUUGUACCAAAUAGAAAGAGCAUUGAUUCAGGUCAUUUUCAAAUCCACUGGCAUACAUUGUACUAUACAUGCAACCUUUUCAAACUUUACAUUUAAGAUUUUAUAAAGGAAAUAUCUUAAUGUUUCACGUGUUUACCUUUCACUGUGCUAUGUAAUUCAUUAUACCUGCCAUUAUGCCAGUCUUCCUGAACAUAAUUUGUUUUCUGCAAUUUCAUUGGCCAAGAGGCUUAAUCCUGGGUUAUCAGAUUGAGCAUUUAUAUUUAGUAUCCCAUUGAUUUUGUCAGCCCUAUAUAAGGAGCUGACUCAGAUUUACUCACUCUGCUAGGUUAAAGAACUCUAAGGUUUGUACUUUUCACAUGAAUUUCGUGUUCGCCUCUUAUCUUUUACAUAGAGUAGGAAAUGAACAUAACAUUGAGUUAGGGAACAAUUUAGAUUUUACAUUAUAAUAUGUAAAUACCUUAGCAGAGUCAAUUUACUUGGUUCAGGGUAGUAUCAGAUAUUACUUUUUCAAAGUUUAAGUGUUUAGGCUAUCUCAAUGUUUCUAUAGUUAGCCUUGUCCUAUGUUACUUUUAGAUGUAUGGAAUAUAGUGUUAUAACACUAUAUUUAUGCCCCCAUUCAAAGAAGAGGGGCAUAUUGGUUUGCACCUGUUGGUCGGUCGGUAGACCACAUGUUGUCCGCUUAAUAUCUUAAGAACCAUUCACUUGAUCGUAAUAUAUUUCAUAUGUGGGUUGGUUAUGAAAAGAAUAGGACCCCAAUUGUUUUUCUGGUCGAAAUGUCAAGGGUCAAUCUACUCUGGACAUAGGAAGACACUGCCUGCUCAAUAUCUUGAGAACCCUUUGCUUGACAGACAUCAAACUUGGUACACUGGUACAUCUCAAGGAGUAGAUUUGAGGUCACAUGGUCAAAAGUCAUGGGGUAAACUGGACAUAGUAAUAUAUUGUCUCUUAUGUUUUAAGAAUUAUUUGCUUGAUUGACACCAAACCUGGUACAGCAUAAGGAGUAGAUGACCCCUAUUGAUUUUUAGGUCACUUGGUCAAUCCACUCCUGACACAGGAAGAUAUUGUUUGCUCAAUAUUUCGAAUUGAUGAUACUACUAUCAAUCAAAUUAUGCAUGUGUAUAACCCUUUUCAAUUUUGCACCAUGGGGGCUUAUAUGUUUUACAAACACCUCAUGUUUUAUAGUUUGUGAAAGCUUGUUAGGGUCAUAACUUUAGAUUUUCUUAUUAUGGUACUUGCCCGUCAGAGACUGGACAUAUUAUGGUAUGGUGUUGUCUGUCCGGACCUUGUAAGAUGGGAUACAGACUGAACCGUAAGCUCCAGAAUCUUACAACUUGGUACAUUUGAUCACCAUAAAAGGAAGAUGCUUAUUGUUUUUUAAGGUCAAGGUUGUAGGUUCACUUAAUAGGAAAACCUUGUUUGAGAAAAUUACAGAUUCUUGAACUGAGUAUUUUGAGGAAACAUUACAUAGAAAGUACAUGAUUUGUCAAAUUUCUCCCAAUAUUCAACUGAGAACCUUAUUCUGCAGAGUAUUUGUAUGGGUAUGGAAAAUGUGUAUGUGGCUAUGAUUUUGAUUUUUGUUUAAUUUUUAUUUUUUUUUUUGAAAAUUACAGGUUUAACCGAGUCAGUUUUUGAGGAAAUAUACAUGUAUUAAAUAAAUGACGGUUUGACCUUUUAACUCCUCUCACAGUUUUGAAACUAGGGUCUUUGUAAAUAACUUCUUUGGUGUUUUAGAAUAUUUACAGAUUGUUGAUCAUGGUAAAUUUUGGGGAAAUAUUUUCCGCAGAGCUCUAGUUGUCUAUCUACCGGCCUCCUGUCACUUUUAAGUUUAGGAGCUUUUAUUCAUGGAAAGAAAGUAUGUGACAGCCUGAUGAUGGCUGAUACUAUUUUUAAAAGCCUUUUUAUACGCCCGUCUUAAGACGGGACGUAUUAUGGUAUGGCGUUCAUGUCCGUCCGUCUGUUAGCUUUUUCGUGUCCGACCCGUAACUUAAAUACUACAAGGCCUAGAAUCAUCAAACUUUGUCUGUAGAUACAUCUUGGGUAGAAGGUGUGUCGCACAUUAAAACCAGGUCACUGUGACUUCAUUAAGAAGAUAUGGCCAUAUAUGGCAAAAACUUGUCCGGCUCAUAACUUAAAAACUAUUAGACCUAGAAUCACCAAAAUUGGUCAACUAAUGCAUCUUAGGUAGAAGGUGUGUCGCAUCCUACUUUAAGGUCACUGUGACAUUUAAUUAAGGUAAUAUAAAAAAAAUGUUUUAAUGGGUACAAUCUAUACUGUUAACAAUAUGUGACGGGCGUAUCAUGUGCCGUGGCGGUGCACUUUAUUCUAGAAAUGGCAUCAGAAAAACACCCUAUGUAACCUUUUCUGCUUAUACUCAUUUAUUUUUAUUGGAAAACUUAUUACUUGUUAUCAGCUACUCUAAAACAAUAUUGACUUGUGCUAUAAUAAAUUUGUAAACUUU